rnacentral:miRNA from 2 species
UAUCACAGUAGUUGUACUUUAA